AGUGAACGCUGGCGGUAGGCCUAACACAUGCAAGUCGAACGGCAGCACAGUAAGAGCUUGCUCUUACGGGUGGCGAGUGGCGGACGGGUGAGGAAUACAUCGGAAUCUACUUUUUCGUGGGGGAUAACGUAGGGAAACUUACGCUAAUACCGCAUACGACCUACGGGUGAAAGCAGGGGAUCUUCGGACCUUGCGCGAUUGAAUGAGCCGAUGUCGGAUUAGCUAGUUGGCGGGGUAAAGGCCCACCAAGGCGACGAUCCGUAGCUGGUCUGAGAGGAUGAUCAGCCACACUGGAACUGAGACACGGUCCAGACUCCUACGGGAGGCAGCAGUGGGGAUUAUUGGACAAAGGGCGCAAGCCUGAUCCAGCCAUACCGCGUGGGUGAAGAAGGCCUUCGGGUUGUAAAGCCCUUUUGUUGGGAAAGAAAAGCAGCAGGUUAAUACCCCGCUGUUCUGACGGUACCCAAAGAAUAAGCACCGGCUAACUUCGUG
rnacentral:rRNA from 1 species